rnacentral:rRNA from 1 species
AUUGAGCGCUGGCGGCAUGCUCUACACAUGCAAGUCGAACGGUAACAGGUUAAGCUGACGAGUGGCGAACGGGUGAGUAAUGCAUCGGAACGUGCCCGGUCGUGGGGGAUAACGCAGCGAAAGCUGCGCUAAUACCGCAUACGAUCUGAGGAUGAAAGCGGGGGACCGUAAGGCCUCGCGCGAUCGGAGCGGCCGAUGUCAGAUUAGGUAGUUGGUGGGGUAAAGGCUCACCAAGCCAACGAUCUGUAGCUGGUCUGAGAGGACGACCAGCCACACUGGUACUGAGACACGGCCCAGACUCCUACGGGAGGCAGCAGUGGGGAAUUUUGGACAAUGGGCGAAAGCCUGAUCCCGCAAUGCCGCGUGCAGGAAGAAGGCCUUCGGGUUGUAAACUGCUUUUGUACGGAGCGAAAAGGUCUCCUCUAAUACAGGGGGCUCAUGACGGUACCGUAAGAAUAAGCACCGGCUAACUACGUGCCAGCCGCCGCAGUAA